CUGUAUAUAAUUCUGUUUUAUUUUCUUUCCCCUUGUAUUAAUUUCUUAGCUGAAAAGGCGUAAAGGAAGCAGUCACCCCAGUGGUGUUUGUGGAGAGGUAUUCCUUCAGAAAUGGAGAAGACAGAAAGCUGCAGAGGCAGGAUUGUUUGCAGAUAAUGCUGUUCUUCUUUUUCAGAAGUUUUUGGGGAGCCAACCCUCACAAACCUUCCUAAAAACUAAAAGAGCUAUUACUGAGUCUCAGCGACUCUUGCCACGAUCAGCUCUUCCCAGAAGAGAAGGAAGACCAAGGAAAUGAUUUGCUCAGGAUGAGGAAUGAAGAUGGUCAUCUUGUGCUCAAGCAAACAGAAGUCCUCUGAUGAUCUCAUCAACCAAAUGAGGGGUUUUGACCAAGUGAUGCUCUUGAAAGGACUGAAAGAAGAGGAUGUGGUAAAUUGUCUUCAGAGAAAAAGCUUCUCAAAAGAUCUUAAAACAGCUUGAAGAAUG